AACGCACAUUGCGCCCCUUGGUAUUCCGAGGGGCAUGCCUGUUCGAGCGUCAUUACAACCCUCAAGCACUGCUUGGUAUUGGGCUCCGCUGGUUUCAGCGGGCCUUAAAGUCAGUGGCAGCGCCGUCUGAGCUCUGAGCGUAGUAAAUCUCCUCGCUAUAGAGACCAGGUGGUCCCUCGCCAUCAACCCCCCUAACUUCCUAAGUUUGACCUCGGAUCAGGUAGGGAUACCCGCUGAACUUAA
rnacentral:misc_RNA from 1 species